rnacentral:rRNA from 1 species
UACGAAGGGUGCAAGCGUUACUCGGAAUUACUGGGCGUAAAGCGUGCGUAGGCGGUUUGUUAAGUCUGUUGUGAAAGCCCCGGGCUCAACCUGGGAAUGGCAAUGGAAACUGGCGGGCUAGAGUACGGUAGAGGAGAGUGGAAUUCCCGGUGUAGCAGUGAAAUGCGUAGAGAUCGGGAGGAACAUCAGUUGCGAAGGCGGCUCUCUGGACCAGUACUGACGCUGAGGCACGAAAGCGUGGGGAGCAAACAGG